rnacentral:rRNA from 1 species
UACGUAGGGGGCAAGCGUUGUCCGGAAUUAUUGGGCGUAAAGGGCGCGUAGGUGGCCCGGUCAGUCAGUGGUGAAAGCGCGGGGCUCAACUCCGCGUCGGCCAUUGAUACUGCGGGGCUGGAGCACUGUAGAGGCAGGCGGAAUUCCGGGUGUAGCGGUGGAAUGCGUAGAGAUCCGGAAGAACACCGGUGGCGAAGGCGGCCUGCUGGGCAGUUGCUGACACUGAGGCGCGACAGCGUGGGGAGCAAACAGG